AGUUGUUCUGAUCCUAAAUCAAUCUGAUCGAAGAAUGUUGAGAAGCAUCCAGUUGUUAGGGUGUGCUAAUUUAAUAUUUAGAUUUUAAAAGGGCAAAUAGGAUGGGUUUGAAAGUAGGGGUUCUAUGUUCUGAAUUUUGACAGCAAAAGUAAGUUUUCAAAAUGUGGCUAUCAUGCAAGAGAACUAGAACAUAAUUAAAUGAACAAGCCCAAAAAAAAGUGGAAACCUAUC
rnacentral:lncRNA from 1 species